AAUCAGCUUGUGUGUUAGUGGAACGGUCUGGAAAGUCCGACGGUACAGGGUGAUAGUCCCGUACACCAAAAUGCACAGGUUGUGAACUCGAAGAGUAGGGCGGGACACGUGGUAUCCUGUCUGAAUAUGGGGGGACCAUCCUCCAAGGCUAAAUACUCCUGACUGACCGAUAGUGAACCAGUACCGUGAGGGAAAGGCGAAAAGAACCCCGGCGAGGGGAGUGAAAAAGAACCUGAAACCGUGUACGUACAAGCAGUGGGAGCACCUUCGGGUGUGACUGCGUACCUUUUGUAUAAUGGGUCAGCGACUUAUAUUCUGUAGCAAGGUUAACCGUAUAGGGGAGCCGCAGGGAAACCGAGUCUUAACUGGGCGUUAAGUUGCAGGGUAUAGACCCGAAACCCGGUGAUCUAGCCAUGGGCAGGUUGAAGGUUGGGUAACACUAACUGGAGGACCGAACCGACUAAUGUUGAAAAAUUAGCGGAUGACUUGUGGCUGGGGGUGAAAGGCCAAUCAAACCGGGAGAUAGCUGGUUCUCCCCGAAAGCUAUUUAGGUAGCGCCUCGUGAACUCAUCUUCGGGGGUAGAGCACUGUUUCGGCUAGGGGGUCAUCCCGACUUACCAACCCGAUGCAAACUACGAAUACCGAAGAAUGUUAUCACGGGAGACACACGGCGGGUGCUAACGUCCGUCGUGAAGAGGGAAACAACCCAGACCGCCAGCUAAGGUCCCAAAGUCAUGGUUAAGUGGGAAACGAUGUGGGAAGGCACAGACAGCCAGGAUGUUGGCUUAGAAGCAGCCAUCAUUUAAAGAAAGCGUAAUAGCUCACUGGUCGAGUCGGCCUGCGCGGAAGAUGUAACGGGGCUAAACCAUGCACCGAAGCUGCGGCAGCGACACUAUGUGUUGUUGGGUAGGGGAGCGUUCUGUAAGCCUGCGAAGGUGUGCUGUGAGGCAUGCUGGAGGUAUCAGAAGUGCGAAUGCUGACAUAAGUAACGAUAAAGCGGGUGAAAAGCCCGCUCGCCGGAAGACCAAGGGUUCCUGUCCAACGUUAAUCGGGGCAGGGUGAGUCGACCCCUAAGGCGAGGCCGAAAGGCGUAGUCGAUGGGAAACAGGUUAAUAUUCCUGUACUUGGUGUUACUGCGAAGGGGGGACGGAGAAGGCUAUGUUAGCCGGGCGACGGUUGUCCCGGUUUAAGCAUGUAGGCUGAUUGUCCAGGCAAAUCCGGAUAAUCAAGGCUGAGGUGUGAUGACGAGGCACUACGGUGCUGAAGUAACAAAUGCCCUGCUUCCAGGAAAAGCCUCUAAGCAUCAGGUAACAUCAAAUCGUACCCCAAACCGACACAGGUGGUCAGGUAGAGAAUACCAAGGCGCUUGAGAGAACUCGGGUGAAGGAACUAGGCAAAAUGGUGCCGUAACUUCGGGAGAAGGCACGCUGGUGUGUAGGUGAAGCCCCUGCGGGUGGAGCUGAGACCAGUCGAAGAUACCAGCUGGCUGCAACUGUUUAUUAAAAACACAGCACUGUGCAAACACGAAAGUGGACGUAUACGGUGUGACGCCUGCCCGGUGCCGGAAGGUUAAUUGAUGGGGUUAUCCGUAAGGAGAAGCUCUUGAUCGAAGCCCCGGUAAACGGCGGCCGUAACUAUAACGGUCCUAAGGUAGCGAAAUUCCUUGUCGGGUAAGUUCCGACCUGCACGAAUGGCGUAAUGAUGGCCAGGCUGUCUCCACCCGAGACUCAGUGAAAUUGAACUCGCUGUGAAGAUGCAGUGUACCCGCGGCAAGACGGAAAGACCCCGUGAACCUUUACUAUAGCUUGACACUGAACAUUGAGCCUUGAUGUGUAGGAUAGGUGGGAGGCUUUGAAGCGUGGACGCCAGUCUGCGUGGAGCCAACCUUGAAAUACCACCCUUUAAUGUUUGAUGUUCUAACGUUGGCCCCUGACCGGGGUUGCGGACAGUGUCUGGUGGGUAGUUUGACUGGGGCGGUCUCCUCCCAAAGCGUAACGGAGGAGCACGAAGGUUAGCUAAUCCUGGUCGGACAUCAGGAGGUUAGUGCAAUGGCAUAAGCUAGCUUGACUGCGAGCGUGACGGCGCGAGCAGGUGCGAAAGCAGGUCAUAGUGAUCCGGUGGUUCUGAAUGGAAGGGCCAUCGCUCAACGGAUAAAAGGUACUCCGGGGAUAACAGGCUGAUACCGCCCAAGAGUUCAUAUCGACGGCGGUGUUUGGCACCUCGAUGUCGGCUCAUCACAUCCUGGGGCUGAAGUAGGUCCCAAGGGUAUGGCUGUUCGCCAUUUAAAGUGGUACGCGAGCUGGGUUUAGAACGUCGUGAGACAGUUCGGUCCCUAUCUGCCGUGGGCGCUGGAGAAUUGAGGGGGGCUGCUCCUAGUACGAGAGGACCGGAGUGGACGCAUCACUGGUGUUCGGGUUGUCAUGCCAAUGGCACUGCCCGGUAGCUAAAUGCGGAAGAGAUAAGUGCUGAAAGCAUCUAAGCACGAAACUUGCCCCGAGAUGAGUUCUCCCUGAGACUUUAAGUCUCCUGAAGGAACGUUGAAGACGACGACGUUGAUAGGCCGGGUGUGUAAGCGCAGCGAUGCGUUGAGCUAACCGGUACUAAUGAACCGUGAGGCUUAACCUUACAACGCCGAAG
rnacentral:rRNA from 1 species